rnacentral:lncRNA from 1 species
AGCUGAGUCAGAGGAACUGAUUAGUGAAGAGUCUGAAGACAUUUCGGAAGCAGUUAGAAAGUGAAGCAGGAAAGCUUGAGACAACAAAAUAUGCCUUUAUUCCAAAGACCUUCAAAAUGCCUUCAGAGUACCAUUUGUUUGUGGAAGAGUUUAGCAAGAAUCUGGCAUCGCUUGCAUUAUGAAACCCAAAUCACAACAAUACAACGUGAUGCUGAAAAAUGCCUUGCUUCUGCCAGAUGAUUCAAGCCAUUUAACAUCAUGAGUAUCGUGCUGUGGUGCCUAAUUAAAAAUACACCCAUCUGUGAGACCUGCAAGCGAGCAGUCACUUUGCUUCGCGCAGCAGGUCUCGCGAGGAGGCUGGGACAGGAGGAUUCGCCUUACCCUGCAAGUCAGGCCUGUCGGUAAGGGCACACUUGUGAGAAGUGAAUGAGAGGUAAUUAUGCAAACUAACGUGAAUUACAGCCAGGAGGAUAGCAGCUAGUGAUUAUCUAACUCUACAAAUGGGGAUGUGUUAAUUGGCAACAAAAAACCUUAUAUUAAGCUGAUUUUAUGCCCACAACCUCAAUUAACAUGGUAAAUAACCAGAACACAGUAAACAAGGGUAUAUGAAAAACUGUGAUUACUGAAAUUAUACCAACAACUUAAACGAAAUAGUUUGUGGCUGACCUCAAAACUCACAGACAAGUAAAAAUAAACUCCAUGUUACUCCUUCUGUUGGUCUGUGCUCUUGAGCAGCCCUGGUUUGUGAUGUCUCAGGUUGCCUACUCCCACACUCAGAUGCAGUAGUAGGUCAGGACGUGCACAGUGCCAGAUCGUGGGGCUGCAGGAGUCUGGGCCUCCUUUGGAAGGUGCCCUGGGGAGCCUUGCUUCUUGGGUGGCUUAUCUGGGCCACUUGUCACCCCCUUUUCAUACAUCAUGCAGCCUAGGCUGUCUUCAGGAUUUUUCUGCUCUUGCUUGCUAUAGUUCUAUGACAUCUUUCACGACUUCC